rnacentral:rRNA from 1 species
GGACAACAUUUGGAAACGAAUGCUAAUACCGCAUAAAAACUUUAAACACAAGUUUUAAGUUUGAAAGAUGCAAUUGCAUCACUCAAAGAUGAUCCCGCGUUGUAUUAGCUAGUUGGUGAGGUAAAGGCUCACCAAGGCGAUGAUACAUAGCCGACCUGAGAGGGUGAUCGGCCACAUUGGGACUGAGACACGGCCCAAACUCCUACGGGAGGCAGCAGUAGGGAAUCUUCGGCAAUGGACGAAAGUCUGACCGAGCAACGCCGCGUGAGUGAAGAAGGUUUUCGGAUCGUAAAACUCUGUUGGUAGAGAAGAACGUUGGUGAGAGUGGAAAGCUCAUCAAGUGACGGUAACUACCCAGAAAGGGACGGCUAACUACGUGCCAGCAGCCGCGGUAAUACGUAGGUCCCGAGCGUUGUCCGGAUUUAUUGGGCGUAAAGCGAGCGCAGGUGGUUUAUUAAGUCUGGUGUAAAAGGCAGUGGCUCAACCAUUGUAUGCAUUGGAAACUGGUAGACUUGAGUGCAGGAGAGAAGAGUGGAAUUCCAUGUGUAGCGGUGAAAUGCGUAGAUAUAUGGAGGAACACCGGUGGCGAAAGCGGCUCUCUGGCCUGUAACUGACACUGAGGCUCGAAAGCGUGGGGAGCAAACAGGAUUAGAUACCCUGGUAGUCCACGCCGUAAACGAUGAGUGCUAGAUGUAGGAGCUAUAAGUUCUCUGUAUCGCAGCUAACGCAAUAA